GCGUGUGUAUAUGGCGCUUGUAUUUGUACUCAUGUUAAAAAAAGGAGAGAUGGACCGGCGCCUACGACGCGCUGGUCGACACCGCGGCAGCCGCCGUCCGCGAGCCCGGGUGCACGGUGGCGCUCACGGACCUCCACCGCUGCCUCCACGCCUUCAGCGAGUCCUGCGACCGAGCCGAGGGCCUCGUCCAGGCGGCCGCCGCCAGCCUCGGCCCCGCCGCCUCCCGCCACGACCAGAUGUGCCGUGCCGUGCGCGCGGUCAACAAGGAUCUCUGGGCCGCCACCGCCGGUCGGGAGGAGAACGAGAUGGAAGAGGAGAAGAAUCGCCCUCCGACCACGCCGCUGGCGGCCGAGGACAAAUAGCCCAAUCAAUCUACCUCGUCUCCUGUUGAGGUGAUGUUCAUCGUUCUUGUUUUUUCCAUGUGAUGUUCAUCGUUCCUCUUAUUUUCUUGGUUGAUGUGCUAAUCGUGUUAGUCAUCUAGAAGAUGAAUGGAACUGUGACGGGAAAGGAGAGAUGGACUGGGAUAUUUGGCAUCGCCGUGCCGCAUGGUGGCCGAGAUGCGGUAGCCCCAUGCUCUGUUCCGAUGGGCCUCCUGUGCUCGAUGGUUGCCGCUGGUUGAGUUUGGUACGAUUUCCUGUUGUCGCUUGCGUCGAGCCUUGGGUCCGUCUCUCCUUCUCAUAGAGCCUACUUCUCCUGUCGCUGGCGCUUCUUCUUCUCGUCCGUCCUGCUGCUUUCCCGACAUGCUUCUGCUUGAUGCAUCGCGUUGUACGAUCUCUUCUGUCGCUGCGUCGUUCGACUCAUCAUGGUUUUCUUCUUUCCUUUCUACUACAUGUGUGCGUAUUUUACUUUCAGUAUCUUCUGUGUCAUGCUGUCUGCCUUGGUGAUCUUUUAAAUAUAUGUAUGUCGUGUUGAUCGUUUAAAUGUUCCGGAUAUGGUCGGGCAUUGUGUGUUGUUCGUUCUUGUGCUGCUUAUAUUUCAUGUAUGCGUGUGAGUUGUUAUACCUGUUUUGGAGGUCGUGGUAACUCGAUGCCCCCUGCGCUCACUCUUUUUGUUGUACACAGAAGCAUAUUUGUCCAAUUCUCAAACUAAUUUUUUGAAAGAAAUCGCAGUUCAUUAGAACGCCAAUUAUGGAUAUGGAUCCAUCUUGGUGCGCUGGAUGAAGGACUGGAUGUAAUAAAAAUUGCAUGUGACAAUUGCUCAUGAAUAGUAUUUGUUGUACAAACAUCCAGUUAAUUCUGGAGAUACAAUAGAGACACUAUAAUAGUACUACUUAGUCAAAUACAUUAUCCAUGAUUGUUGUAGUGAAAUGUCGCUCUAGCUAUUAAUUUGCAGAAUCUUGCACGACAAACUAUAGGCAUGUGAUCUCUAUGGUGUUCCAGUAAAUAAAGAAAACUAGAACAUGUGCCUUCAAAUUUUCUAUUUAUAUACAAAAACCAUGCAUUGGUACAUAUGAACCAUAUGAAUAGGACUGAAAAAGAUCUAUUUUUUUGUCAUGUUUGUGAGUUUUCUGUUAUUUCCGCUCAGUGUGAAUAGGACUGAAGAAGAUGGACAUAGCCCUUUAGGUAAUUUCACUUUUUUUGAACAGCAAACCGUAGAACAAUAGUUCUAUGGUAUAUUUUAAUUAAAAACACAGUAUGUUACAAAGGGAAAGGAGAAAAUAGAAACAAAAGAAAAAAGAUCUAAGCUCAUGGGGCAGAGCCCUUAUCCAAUUUCAGUUUUGGGCAACAUGACAAUCAUUUCAAAAUUCAUCUGACAGCCUGCUUGAACAAGGUGGAAUGCUCGUCUUUGAUCUUGUGUUGAAGUAGUUGAAGAUCCUUUUUCAAUUCAAGCCUCCAAUUUGAGACUGUCGGCUGGAUGUUUCUGAAGACCUUGCCAUCUCACUUUGUCCUGGAUUAAUAAUAGAUUACAAAUUUAUUUGUUUAAAUAGGACAGGUUAUUUAUGAAGGUAUACCAUUUCUAUUGACUGGAUAAUUUACAUGUUGGCAAGGACUUAUCGGUGCAGCCUGGUCAUAAUUGCUCGGCCAAUUUCCCACCCCAAAUCCAGAACCGCUUCAUCUUUAGAUCUUUACAUCAUUGAUGAAAUGCCUUAGAGACUAAGAUCUGCACUUUGUUUUUCUCCGUUCUCCUGCUCACGAAUUACCCGAUGGCUGUAAGACCCAGAGAAGCAUUAGGAACUGGUCUGCAGUGUCUUCCAGUGUACGCGUGCACACAAUUCACUUUCCUUUUCUUUUUGCCCUUUGUAUAGAUGAUGUGGUUGAGUUACAAAGCCUCUUCUUGCAGUGUUGUCUGCCAGGCCGAAGGGAAGUUAUUAAUGCAUUUGAGCUGCUCUAUCUGAUUGUCCAUCUCCUGAACCUGUUUUAGUUGAUAUAAAAGUGUUUCUAUUUCAGAAAGCCACAACACGAGAUUGUGCCCCCUCUUGCUACAGGCUAUUCCUCAUGUUGCAACCUUUUCCCGUAGAAUUGAAAGGAAGAUGGAAGAAAUUGCAGGAGCUUGCUAUUAUUUGAGUAGGAAUGGUGUUCCCAGCGUGACAUUGAAAACCAGUCAAGACUAGGAAGGGGCUAUGAAGGGCAAAAUGCUAUGGAUCCAGAGUGGGAGGGGAGAGUUACCAACAAUGUAUCAAGGAUAAACCGGGACAUGGAUUCCUAAGUUCCAACUUAUAUAGCAAAAUUAUAUAGGGAGAAUGCUCGCAUUUUGAAAACUCUAUUACAUAGUUUGAAGCUAUGUUUCUUUCAAUUUUCAUUAUUAAAAGGAUCUAAUUAUUGCCAAUUUUUCAAGCAUUUAUUGUCGAAUAACUCUUUGUUUCAAAUAAGACCUGUGGCGCAAAGGGUA